AUUCACUCCCCCAGAGGAUGGAUGAGUCCAUCAGGGCCUUGCACGCGAGCCCGGCAUGGACAGAGAUGGUAUCGCUCGCUCACUUCCUCCUCUGGUGCUUUUGCAACAUCUCCUUGGAAUGGUCGGGUCCAGCCCAUUCUGCUUCUGUUGAGCCACAGCAGGUGAAUCCGGGCAAAACGGGAAGAAAAUGGAGCAAGCAAAGGACGCCAGAGGACGGCGGCGCCUGGAAGCAUAAAACACAAAUGGCACAGAAAUGAAAAGGGGUGCCCCACUAGAAUGUGGGUGCAAACUCACAGGAGUCGUUUCACUGUGUCUUAAGGAGCUUACCCUUUAGGAUACAGACGUUCACCACUGUCUUUCUUAGUCUUUCCCAUUGUUCAGGCUCACAUGAGGGUCAUUUUAUUCCAACCGCCCCUUUCAUCACGUCAGGACACUACGUGGAGUGCAAUCAAGGCAUAAAUAAAUCAAAUGCAAAGGUUUGUCACUGCAUGGGCACAGGCCCCUCAUGACCAACACCCUGAAUCCAACGCAUGCAUUUGAUUCAUCAUCUGACAUGUGAGUUUUCUUAUCUUUCAGUGUAGAUAUUUAGAUGCUCAAAAAUGUGAUUGCUAGGUGGCUAUAAUUAACCCCUAAUUAAUAAUAGGGAGCUAAAUAAUAAUUUUUAAACUUUACAAAUUGAAAGAAGCAACAAGAAAGAACAAGUAAGAAUAAAUGCUUUUUCUCAUAGAAACGUAUUUUAAUUUGGAACCCAAUGACUUUCAAAAUGUAUUUUGUAAAGUUGCACCACACAGCAUAAUAAAAAGAAACUCCAAGUUCCUUUUAUGUUAAGGGGAUCACCCAUCUCGAUUCACCCACAGAAGUCCAAAUUGAGAGACACAUGUUGGCAGAUGUAGUGGUUGUUCAUUUUCACUGCUGUGUUGUGUUCCAUGAGUGAAAAUGUCCGUUUCCUUAUCUAUAAUCAUGUGAGUCAACAGUUAAGCUUUUUCUGGUUUCAUACAAUUCCAGCAAUACUGCUGUGUAGGCUACUGUGCAUGUGGAAUGGUGUACCCGUGCAAAUAUUUCUCUGGGAUACAAGGGCAGAAAAGAAGUUAGAGGAUCAUGAGAAAUAGGCUAGAAUGUAUCCAAAUGGUUUCCAAAGUGAUUAUUCCAAUUGACAGUCUCACCGGUAAAGCUUCAGUCUUCUCAAGGAUCCAUCCUCACCAACAAGUAGAAUUGUCAGACUUUUUAACUUUUGCCAAUCUGGUGGGUGCAAAUGGCAUCUCAUUAUUGUUUUAAUUUGCAUUUCUCGGAUUGAUAAUGAGGUUAAGCAUCUGUUCCUGUGUUUAUUUGCCAUAUUUUUUCCUCUGCUGUGAACCUAUUAGGCUGUUUGCCUUUUUAUUACUGAUUUGGAG
rnacentral:lncRNA from 10 species